AUACGGAGGGUGCAAGCGUUACUCGGAAUCACUGGGCGUAAAGCGCGCGCAGGCGGCUAUUUAAGUUGGAUGUGAAAGCCUACGGCUCAACCGUAGAACUGCAUCCAAAACUAUUUAGCUAGAGUGUGGGAGAGGAAGAUGGAAUUAGUUGUGUAGGGGUAAAAUCCGUAGAGAUAACUAGGAAUACCAAAAGCGAAGGCAAUCUGCUGGAACACUACUGACGCUGAGGCGCGAAAGCGUGGGGAGCAAACGGGAUUAGAAACCCUAGUAGUCC
rnacentral:rRNA from 1 species